UGAACGCUGGCGGCAUGCCUAACACAUGCAAGUCGAACGGAAACGAUGCUAGCUUGCUAGCAGGCGUCGAGUGGCGGACGGGUGAGUAAUGCAUAGGAAUCUACCUUUUAGUGGGGGAUAACGUGGGGAAACUCACGCUAAUACCGCAUAAUCUCUACGGAGGAAAGUGGGGGAUCUUCGGACCUCAUGCUGAAAGAUGAGCCUAUGUCAGAUUAGCUAGUUGGUGGGGUAAUGGCCUACCAAGGCGACGAUCUGUAGCUGGUUUGAGAGAAUGAUCAGCCACACUGGAACUGAGACACGGUCCAGACUCCUACGGGAGGCAGCAGUGGGGAAUAUUGGACAAUGGGCGCAAGCCUGAUCCAGCAAUGCCGCGUGUGUGAAGAAGGCCUGCGGGUUGUAAAGCACUUUCAGUUGGGAGGAAAGGUUUAAGCUUAAUACGCUUGAACUGUGACGUUACCAACAGAAGAAGCACCGGCUAACUCU
rnacentral:rRNA from 1 species